rnacentral:rRNA from 1 species
UGAGUAACACGUGAGUAACCUGCCCUUGACUCUGGGAUAAGCGUUGGAAACGACGUCUAAUACCGGAUACGAGCCCCAACCGCAUGGUUAGGGGUUGGAAAGAAUUUCGGUCAAGGAUGGACUCGCGGCCUAUCAGCUUGUUGGUGAGGUAAUGGCUCACCAAGGCGACGACGGGUAGCCGGCCUGAGAGGGUGACCGGCCACACUGGGACUGAGACACGGCCCAGACUCCUACGGGAGGCAGCAGUGGGGAAUAUUGCACAAUGGGCGAAAGCCUGAUGCAGCAACGCCGCGUGAGGGAUGACGGCCUUCGGGUUGUAAACCUCUUUUAGUAGGGAAGAAGCGAAAGUGACGGUACCUGCAGAAAAAGCACCGGCUAACUACGUGCCAGCAGCCGCGGUAAUACGUAGGGUGCAAGCGUUGUCCGGAAUUAUUGGGCGUAAAGAGCUCGUAGGCGGUUUGUCGCGUCUGCUGUGAAAACUGGAGGCUCAACCUCCAGCCUGCAGUGGGUACGGGCAGACUAGAGUGCGGUAGGGGAGAUUGGAAUUCCUGGUGUAGCGGUGGAAUGCGCAGAUAUCAGGAGGAACACCGAUGGCGAAGGCAGAUCUCUGGGCCGUAACUGACGCUGAGGAGCGAAAGCGUGGGGAGCGAACAGGAUUAGAUACCCUGGUAGUCCACGCCGUAAACGUUGGGAACUAGAUGUGGGGACCAUUCCACGGUCUCCGUGUCGCAGCUAACGCAUUAAGUUCCCCGCCUGGGGAGUACGGCCGCAAGGCUAAAACUCAAAGGAAUUGACGGGGGCCCGCACAAGCGGCGGAGCAUGCGGAUUAAUUCGAUGCAACGCGAAGAACCUUACCAAGGCUUGACAUAUACGAGAACGGGCCAGAAAUGGUCAACUCUUUGGACACUCGUAAACAGGUGGUGCAUGGUUGUCGUCAGCUCGUGUCGUGAGAUGUUGGGUUAAGUCCCGCAACGAGCGCAACCCUCGUUCUAUGUUGCCAGCACGUUAUGGUGGGAACUCAUAGGAGACUGCCGGGGUCAACUCGGAGGAAGGUGGGGAUGACGUCAAAUCAUCAUGCCCCUUAUGUCUUGGGCUUCACGCAUGCUACAAUGGCCGGUACAAAGGGCUGCAAUACCGUAAGGUGGAGCGAAUCCCAAAAAGCCGGUCUCAGUUCGGAUUGAGGUCUGCAACUCGACCUCAUGAAGUCGGAGUCGCUAGUAAUCGUGAAUCAGCAACGUCACGGUGAAUACGUUCCCGGGCCUUGUACACACCGCCCGUCAAGUCAUGAAAGUCGGUAAC